rnacentral:lncRNA from 1 species
AAAAAGUGAUCGGAGAGCCCAGAGGACGCCACGUGGUUGCUAGCAGUUGGCGGAACGGUAAAAAAAAUUCAAAUUUGAGGGCUGACGCUAGACCCAAAAUUCGGGCUCGUGCGCGAGCUGAACUUCUAGCCCAGUCUCGUGGCCCCCACCUCCUACUCAGACCAUCCCUUGCUGCUGGAAUCGUUUUUUGCGCCCUCAACGCACCCCCCACCCCGAGCCGCUGGAAGUGCUCUAACAUUGCUACUGCUGGCACUAACAAUAGACAUGUUCUACUUUGCUUCCCCUUUUCUUUGCUAAAAUAAUUAUACCAAGACUCUGUAUAGGGCUUCCAUUCAUCAGGGACAGUGGUGUUUUUUGCAUCCCC